CAAUAGCGUAUAUUUAAGUUGUUGCAGUUAAAAAGCUCGUAGUUGGAUUUCGGGUGGGACGCAGCGGUCUCGCAUUGCGUUUGUACUGCUGCAGCCCUCCUUCUUGCCGGGGGCGGCCUCUCGGACUUCACUGUCUGGGGGCCAGAAUCGGCGAUGUUACUUUGAGUAAAUUAGAGUGUUCAAAGCAAGCUUACGCUCUGAAUAUAAUAGCAUGGGAUAACACGACAGGACUCUGGCCUAUCGUGUUGGUCUAUAGGACCAGAGUAAUGAUUAAGAGGGACAGUCGGGGGCAUUCGUAUUCCGUUGUCAGAGGUGAAAUUCUUGGAUUUACGGAAGACGAACAUCUGCGAAAGCAUUUGCCAAGGAUGUUUUCAUUG
rnacentral:rRNA from 1 species